UACGGAGGGUGCAAGCGUUAUCCGGAAUGACUGGGCGUAAAGCGUGCGCAGGUGGCUCGUUAAGUUGGCUGUGAAAUCCCCGGGCUCAACCUGGGAACUGCAUCGAAAACUGGCGAGCUAGAGUAUGGUAGAGGGUGAUGGAAUUUCCUGUGUAGCGGUGAAAUGCGUAGAUAUCUGGAGGAAUACCGGUGGCGAAGGCGGCCUGCUGGGCCGGCAUUGACGCUGAGGAGCGAAAGCUAGGGGAGCAAACGGG
rnacentral:rRNA from 1 species